rnacentral:piRNA from 1 species
UACUUUGAGAUGCUGAUAUUCUCAUUUGU